GAGAGGCUUAAUGGUGAAAACCCUUCAUGGCACAACAAGGCGGUUGAGGAUUGCAGAUCGUAUGGAUUAAUUAAAGCGCUGAAGCCCAGUUUCACAUCUAAGAGGUACAACAAGAGUGAAAUAUUAAAUUUCUUGAGAGAUCAUGCCGCCUAAUCCAAAAUGCAUGUCAUGGUCAAUUGAGAUGACCUUCAAAUCAGAUUAGUUUCUUCUUUGUUCUUUUUCC
rnacentral:lncRNA from 1 species